GACGAACGCUGGCGGCGUGCCUAACACAUGCAAGUCGAACGGAAAUACGAUUUCGGUUGUAUUUUAGUGGCGAACGGGUGAGUAACGCGUGAGCAACCUGACCUUCAGAGGGGGAUAACAUUUGGAAACAGAUGCUAAUACCGCAUAAGACCACGACCCGACAUCGGGAUGAGGUCAAAGGAGCAAUCCGCUGAGGGAGGGGCUCGCGUCCCAUUAGAUAGAUGGCGGGGUAACGGCCCACCAUGUCGACGAUGGGUAGCCGAGCUGAGAGGCUGAUCGGCCACACUGGAACUGAGACACGGUCCAGACUCCUACGGGAGGCAGCAGUGGGGAAUAUUGGGCAAUGGGCGCAAGCCUGACCCAGCAACGCCGCGUGAGGGAAGAAGGCUUUCGGGUUGUAAACCUCUAUCCUUGGUGACGAAACAAAUGACGGUAGCCAAGAAGGAAGCCCCGGCUAACUACGUG
rnacentral:rRNA from 1 species